GCCUCAUUGGAACAGGAUCGGAGCGUCUGUCUUAUAAACAGAAGGUUUUUGUAAAUGGAAGGUCGCUGGUUCGAUUCCAGCAUGAGGCA
rnacentral:tRNA from 1 species